AUUGAACGCUGGCGGCAGGCCUAACACAUGCAAGUCGAGCGAGCGGCGGACGGGUGAGUAAUGUAUGGGGAUCUGCCUGAUGGAGGGGGAUAACUACUGGAAACGGUAGCUAAUACCGCAUAACAUCAGAUGAACCCAUAUGGGAUUAGCUAGUAGGUGGGGUAACGGCUCACCUAGGCGACGAUCCCUAGCUGGUCUGAGAGGAUGACCAGCCAAACGGGAACUGAGACACGGUCCAGACUCCUACGGGAGGCAGCAGUGGGGAAUAUUGCACAAUGGGCGAAAGCCUGAUGCAGCCAUGCCGCGUGUAUGAAGAAGGCCGUCGGGUUGUAAAGCACUUUCAGCCGGGAGGCGUUACCGGCAGAAGAAGCACCGGCUAACUCCGUGCCAGCAGCCGCGGUAAUUC
rnacentral:rRNA from 1 species